ensembl:lncRNA
CGGCCUUAUUCUUAUUUAACUGCUUGUUUAAGUCACCUGGUCCACGGCCCACUAUGAUAAAUCAUAUUGUUUCUGAUGGAAGCUCGGACUAGUACAGAGUUUAUAGAGCACCAUAAUCUCAUAUGUCGUCUACGUGGCCUAACUAUAAAAUAGCCCGACAGUCCGCAGAUUUUACACAUGCCUUGUUUUACAUAAUUUUUCUCUGUCUGUCUGAAAUACCUGUCUGUCUCAACUCAUCGUGGUCACUUCAGAUGUCAAAAGGUUGACAGGGUUAUUUUCUUAGCCAGGGCGACCUGGAUAAGGCAAUUUAGAACCACCAAUUCAUUAUAAUGAUGUGGGAAAAUGUCUGCCAUUAUUGUGCAUCGACCAAAACGGUAGGGCCGUGGGAAACGAAAACCUAUGAGAAAUGCCCAAAUUCAGACUAAAAUCUUUUCUGUAACAUUCCAUUUGAAAUCCGUCAUUUCUACUGAGGCGCUUUUGUGCAGUAGCCUAGAGUAUUAAGCAGUAACCAUUAUCAGGUAUUUUGUAUAAAUACUUCGUUAUAUAUAUAUAUAUAUAUAUAUAUAUAUAUAUAUGAAUUGUAAAUAGGGUGUACCUACCCCUCUGCAGAGGAAACCAGUGAGCGUCUCAUCUCCACUAUGUAGCUUUAACAUCUCCAGCCUUCUCUUAUCCGUGCCCUGAUUGCACCGCAAGCAUGCUGUCACACUCCUUUUCUUGGAACAAAGUUUGGCCUCUCGCAGUUUGAAAUGUGUUUCUAGAGUUGGGAAUGCAAAAGCUUUGUUCAUAAGGAGGUGGAAUCAGUGGCGAGGCUGAAAGCGGCGAGUUUUUGAUUAAUGAGCUUUGAAAUGCCUCGCUAGGGGGGAGGAGGGUGAGAGAGCCAUUCAGUCAGGGAAGGAUUGCCAUGCCUAUAAAACUAGCAAUGUGUAGAAAUGCUUAAAUUCUCAAUGCUAUUCAUCGUCAAGUUAUAAGGUGGAUUUAAAUAAAUACGAACAUAGAAGUAAUUGUUGGAUGAUAUUUAAGAGACAUAAUAUUUAGUUGAAUAGCUUUAUUUAGUUGAAUUGUGGUAGGGUAUUUGAUUCCAUAUUGAGACGUGUUUACAAAACUGUAUUCUGCAGUAGCCCAAUUGAUGUGUAAAUAUCGCGAAAAUCAACAAUUAUUUUUGUUAUUUUUAAAGAACCUAAUGCGUAAAUAA